rnacentral:rRNA from 1 species
UGAACGCUAGCGACAGGCUAACACAUGCAAGUCGAGGGGCGAUCACGGGAGUAGCAAUACAACUGGUGGCGACCGGCGCGACGGGUGAGUAACGCGUAUGCAACCUACCUAUCAGAGGGGAAUAACCCGGCGAAAGUCGGACUAAUACCGCAUAAAACAGGGGCACCGCAUGGUGAUAUUUGUUAAAGAAAUUCGCUGAUAGAUGGGCAUGCGUUCCAUUAGGUAGUUGGUGAGGUAACGGCUCACCAAGCCGACGAUGGAUAGGGGAACUGAGAGGUUGGUCCCCCACACUGGUACUGAGACACGGACCAGACUCCUACGGGAGGCAGCAGUGAGGAAUAUUGGUCAAUGGGCGGGAGCCUGAACCAGCCAAGUCGCGUGAAGGAAAAGAAGGAUCUAUGGUUCGUAAACUUCUUUUGCAGGGGAAUAAAGUGCAGGACGUGUCCUGUUUUGUAUGUACCCUGAGAAUAAGGAUCGGCUAACUCCGUGCCAGCAGCAGC